AUUGAACGCUGGCGGCAUGCCUUACACAUGCAAGUCGAACGGCAGCGCGGACUUCGGUCUGGCGGCGAGUGGCGAACGGGUGAGUAAUACAUCGGAACGUACCCUGUUGUGGGGGAUAACUAGUCGAAAGAUUAGCUAAUACCGCAUACGACCUGAGGGUGAAAGUGGGGGAUCGCAAGGCCUCACGCAGCAGGAGCGGCCGAUGUCUGAUUAGCUAGUUGGUGGGGUAAAGGCCCACCAAGGCGACGAUCAGUAGCUGGUCUGAGAGGACGAUCAGCCACACUGGGACUGAGACACGGCCCAGACUCCUACGGGAGGCAGCAGUGGGAAUUUUGGACAAUGGGGGCAACCCUGAUCCAGCAAUGCCGCGUGUGUGAAGAAGGCCUUCGGGUUGUAAAGCACUUUUGUCCGGAAAGAAAUCGCGCUGGUUAAUACCUGGCGUGGAUGACGGUACCGGAAGAAUAAGCACCGGCUAACUACGUG
rnacentral:rRNA from 1 species